ensembl:misc_RNA Y_RNA Y RNA
GGCUGGUCCAAUGGUAGUGGGUUACCAGAACUUAUUAACAUUAGUGUCACUAAAGUUGGUAUACAACUUCCCACUGCUAAAUUUUACUGGCUUUUA